rnacentral:rRNA from 1 species
UACGGAGGGGGUUAGCGUUGUUCGGAAUGACUGGGCGUAAAGCGCGCGUAGGCGGACCAUCAAGUCGGGGUGAAAUCCCGGGGCUCAACCCCGGAAUGGCCUUCGAGACUGGUGGUCUUGAGUUCGAGAGAGGUGAGUGGAAUUCCGAGUGUAGAGGUGAAAUUCGUAGAUAUUCGGAGGAACACCAGUGGCGAAGGCGGCUCACUGGCUCGACACUGACGCUGAGGUGCGAAGCGUGGGGAGCAAACAGG